rnacentral:rRNA from 1 species
UAAACAUAUUACCGAAGCUGUGGAUUGUCCUUUGGACAAUGGUAGGAGAGCGUUCUAAGGGCGUUGAAGCAUGAUCGUAAGGACAUGUGGAGCGCUUAGAAGUGAGAAUGCCGGUGUGAGUAGCGAAAGACGGGUGAGAAUCCCGUCCACCGAUUGACUAAGGUUUCCAGAGGAAGGCUCGUCCGCUCUGGGUUAGUCGGGUCCUAAGCUGAGGCCGACAGGCGUAGGCGAUGGAUAACAGGUUGAUAUUCCUGUACCACCUAUAAUCGUUUUAAUCGAUGGGGGGACGCAGUAGGAUAGGCGAAGCGUGCGAUUGGAUUGCACGUCUAAGCAGUAAGGCUGAGUAUUAGGCAAAUCCGGUACUCGUUAAGGCUGAGC